UCCGUCGUAGCUCAAUUGGUAGAGCAUCGGACGCCUAAUUCGAAGGUUGUGGGUUCGGAUCCCGCCGAUGGAA